rnacentral:rRNA from 1 species
GACGAACGCUGGCGGCGUGCUUAACACAUGCAAGUCGAACGGAAAGGCCCUGCUUUUGUGGGGUGCUCGAGUGGCGAACGGGUGAGUAACACGUGAGUAACCUGCCCUUGACUUUGGGAUAACUUCAGGAAACUGGGGCUAAUACCGGAUAGGAGCUCCUGCUGCAUGGUGGGGGUUGGAAAGUUUCGGCGGUUGGGGAUGGACUCGCGGCUUAUCAGCUUGUUGGUGGGGUAGUGGCUUACCAAGGCUUUGACGGGUAGCCGGCCUGAGAGGGUGACCGGCCAUUUGGGCAGUGAGACGCCCCCGACCCUUCCGGGGGGGGCAGGUGGGGAGAAUUUCGCAAAGGGGGGGGGCCCCAGACGGCACCCCCGCGCGCGGGGUAUGGGCCUCUGGGUUUUGAAACCCUUUCGCCCGUGAGGAGGAGCGAGUGUGGGGAAUGGGGGAAAAAGAACCCGGUAACACCGC